rnacentral:rRNA from 1 species
UACGUAGGGUGCGAGCGUUGUCCGGAGUUAUUGGGCGUAAAGAGCUCGUAGGCGGUCUGUCGCGUCGAUCGUGAAAACUUGGGGCUUAACCCUGAGCUUGCGGUCGAUACGGGCAUGACUGGAGUUCGGCAGGGGAGACUGGAAUUCCUGGUGUAGCGGUGAAAUGCGCAGAUAUCAGGAGGAACACCGGUGGCGAAGGCGGGUCUCUGGGCCGAUACUGACGCUGAGGUGCGAAAGCGUGGGGAGCAAACAGG